UACGUAGGCAGCAAGCGUUGUUCGGAAUUACUGGGCGUAAAGAGUGUGUAGGCGGUGCUCCAAGUCUGGUGUGAAAUCUCCCGGCUUAACUGGGAGGGUGCAUUAGAAACUGGAAUGCUAGAGGAUGGGAGAGGUAAGCGGAAUUCCUGGUGUAGCGGUGAAAUGCGUAGAUAUCAGGAGGAACACCUGUGGUGUAGACAGCUUACUGGACCAUUUCUGACGCUGAGACACGAAAAGCGUGGGUAGCAAAACAGG
rnacentral:rRNA from 1 species